AUGUGUGAGCUCGCGGUGAGGCACAAAUGUGGAGUCCUCGAGGCGCCGCUUCAGUUUUAUCGAACCAGAACGGCGUCAUCUCUCCUAGGCUUUACACAGCUUGAGGUGUAUGUCGGGAAGCGCAUUCGAAUGCGAGGCGGUUGGUGCGGUUGUUGAAGUCGUGUUUGUGCUGCUCUUUGUUUUAUCGAUUUAACCAGAUUUUACGCUCCGCGCUUUGGUGACGUGCGUGGUCUAAUCGUGUUGUGUACGUGAGUGGCGUGUAACUGGUGAUACAGUAAGCAAGGACAGUCAUCAAUGUGCGCGAUCAGCCGCAAACCAGCCACGAGGCAUUGCAACGGGCACGUUCAGUGGGCUGCGCGGCCGUUGCAACGAGCUGCAUUGCUGAUUCUUCGCUUGCCUGAGACUGGCAAUUGUCGAGCGGGUUGCAUCCGUUGUUACGUUGGCCGAAGACAGCAGUAAAAGUGAUCUGCAGAUAGCACGAAUGCCAGCAAUCGUGCAAAGUAGGAGUCCAAAGGGGGACAUGGUUGUUGUGGUUGGGUGAAAGCAACGUGUCAUUGUGGUUAAAAAAGACGAAUCAGUGUACAUGUGAUAUAACUGUCAAAGGCGGAAUGUCGAAAGGUACGUAGACAGCACAAAUGUUUGUUCUUCCUUUUUUUUCCCGCCAUAUUCAAUGUGUUGCGUUGGAACUGUUUACAGCAUACAUCCAUCCCAAGGCAUGCUGGGAGGAUCUC
rnacentral:lncRNA from 1 species